GACGAACGCUGGCGGCGUGCCUAAUAUAUGCAAGUCGAGCGCAGGAAGCUGACGGAACUCUUCGGAGGGAAGGCAGUGGAAUGAGCGGCGGACGGGUGAGUAACACGUAAGGAACCUGCCUCAAGGAUUGGGAUAACUCCGAGAAAUCGGAGCUAAUACCGGAUAGUUCAACGGACCGCAUGGUCCGCUGAUGAAAGGCGCUCCGGCGUCACCUUGAGAUGGCCUUGCGGUGCAUUAGCUAGUUGGUGGGGUAACGGCCCACCAAGGCGACGAGGCAUGUCUGACCUGAGAGGGUGAUCGGCCACACUGGGACGGAGACCCGGGCCAGACUCCUAAGGGAGGCAGCAGUAGGGAAUCUUCCACAAUGGACGAAAGUCUGAUGGAGCAACGCCGCGUGAGUGAUGAAGGUUUUCGGAUCGUAAAACUCUGUUGUAAGGGAAGAACACGUACGAGAGGGAAUGCUCGUACCUUGACGGUACCUUACGAGAAAGCCACGGCUAACUACGUGCCAGCAGCCGCAGUAACAC
rnacentral:rRNA from 1 species